GAUGAAGAACGUAGUGAAAUGCGAUAAGUAAUGUGAAUUGCAGAAUUCAGUGAAUCAUCGAAUCUUUGAACGCACAUUGCGCCCUCUGGUAUUCCGGGGGGCAUGCCUGUUCGAGCGUCAUUACAACCCUCAAGCUCUGCUUGGUAUUGGGCUCUGCCGGUCCUGGCAGGCCUCAAAGUCAGUGGCGGUGCCAUCCGGCUCCAAGCGUAGUAAUUCUCCUCGCUUCGGAGGCCGCGGUGCGUGCUAGCCAGCAACCCCCAAUUUUUUUCAGGUUGACCUCGGAUCAGGUAGGGAUACCCGCUGAACUUAAGCAUAUCAAUAAGCGGAGGA
rnacentral:misc_RNA from 1 species